UAAAGUCAUGAGAGCUUAUGUUCAAAGUGGACAAUGUCAUACCAUUGUGGAAAGUCGUGAUUCCUAACAUGAAUGAUACAUCGACAGCUGAAGUAACCUAUGAGGAUAAUGAGAACUUGGAGGCUGAAGAGUUCUCAGGUUUCAAUUCUGUACAUGCGGGUCGGGUUGGCACAAACGGGUCGGGUUGGGUCAGAAUGCGUCCAGCGGAUUUCGACUUCUUCCUCCCACCUUCUUCCAAAUUCUUCUUCACUCUCAGUACACUAUGUCUUCUUCUCCAUGAGAGCCAACCAACCUCCCUCGACAACAAACUAGAUACGAAGACCUACGAAAUACGUUAGGGUUCUGAGGGGGAAAAACAACGGAGAUCACACCACUAGAAGCUUAGCGUCGGAGUUCUCCCCUUCUCAACCGUUUGAGUCCCAAUGUCAUCGCUCACGAGUGCCUCGAGUUUCGUUGCUCUUCUCUCAAGUUUCGCCUCCUUCCUCUUGCUCAACCUCGCUUCCUGUCAAACGCCCUCUUCUGCCAUUUCCUAUUCUUUUGUCCUUCUUUUCUUUUUCUUUUACUUUUUACUAAGUGUUUUUCUUUUUCUUUUACUUUUUACUAAGUGUUGGGACAACUGGCUCUCUUUUCAUUUAGUGUCAGUUGUACGGUUAUUACAGGUAUUCCUCAUUCUUACAAACGUAGGUAUUAUUUGAGGAGUAUGGAAAAUUUUGGAACUUUGUAGAGAAGCAAACCCGAACCAAAAAGUGUCACGCUUUCCAGGUAAGUGGUACCUCGGAACCUUGGAAUUAGCUAUACUCGUAGUAUGCAUGAAAGUAUGAUAUGAGGAGUAAGUCAUAGAAAUUUGAGCAUGAAAUGAGUUGGUUUGAUGUAUGUAAAAGCACGUUAAAUGUUAUGGUGCACAUUUAUCGAGGAAUGAACUGUUGAGUUACGAUAUGAC